ensembl:rRNA 5S_rRNA 5S ribosomal RNA
GCCUACGGCCAUACCACUCUGAAUGCGCCCGAUCUCGUUUGAUCUCGGAAGCUUAGGAGAGUCGGACCUGGCUAGUACUUGGAUGGGAGACCACCAAGGAAUACUGGGUGCUGUAGGCG